rnacentral:rRNA from 1 species
GAUGAACGCUGGCGGCGUGCCUAAUACAUGCAAGUCGAGCGAACAGACGAGGAGCUUGCUCCUCUGACGUUAGCGGCGGACGGGUGAGUAACACGUGGAUAACCUACCUAUAAGACUGGGAUAACUUCGGGAAACCGGAGCUAAUACCGGAUAAUAUAUUGAACCGCAUGGUUCAAUAGUGAAAGACGGUUUUGCUGUCACUUAUAGAUGGAUCCGCGCCGCAUUAGCUAGUUGGUAAGGUAACGGCUUACCAAGGCAACGAUGCGUAGCCGACCUGAGAGAGUGAUCGGCCACACUGGAACUGAGACACGGUCCAGACUCCUACGGGAGGCAGCAGUAGGGAAUCUUCCGCAAUGGGCGAAAGCCUGACGGAGCAACGCCGCGUGAGUGAUGAAGGUCUUCGGAUCGUAAAACUCUGUUAUUAGGGAAGAACAAAUGUGUAAGUAACUAUGCACGUCUUGACGGUACCUGAUCAGAAAGCCACGGCUAACUACGUG